rnacentral:lncRNA from 1 species
ACAGAAGACGAAGAGCUGGAAUAGAGCUCGCCUCGGCUCUGCUGGCCUUGGCUGCAGCUCUUCCAGAAACCCGGGGCGCCCACAGAAGAAUCUCUUACCUGGCUCUCUCUUCAGGGAUGACAUCAUCGGCUCACACCAGUCUUCCAGGACCACCUUCUGGAUGCCAAGGCUGCUGCUCGAGUACCUGCUGUGCACCUCUACCUCCUGAGCCAAGGAGCACGGAUUCCAGGAACCCACUACCAUACAGAGCAACUCCUUGUGGACCCCCCUGGGAUCAGGACAGCGAGGGACAAGCGACAAAGAGGAUCAUCAGUGGCCAGCUAGUUUCUCUGGGGUUCAAACCUUGAACCAGUGCCCUAGUUUGCAGGUGGAUCUAGUCCUCCCGUUCAUGGCUCAUGUGUCUCAACCAUUCUCUCGCAGACUCCUGCAGCCCCUAUGCCCAGGGCUCUCCUUGCGCCAGCCCCGGCUUCUCGAGGCCUGUCUACACUCGCUGCUUUCCUUCCUCACCUCCAAUUUCCCCUCCAACCCACUGCUUCCUGACUCGCUCUUCUCCAUCGAACGGCUCUCGCUCAGGCCUGUCGCGUCUUCCUGUGCCAUUUGCUGUUGUGCUCAGGUUCCACGAGCUGCCCAUCUCCACAGAAGAGCAGCUGGCAUUGCCCACCGGCCAUGCCGGCUGAAGAAAAGAAGACUGAGGACCCCAGGAUGCCCAGCGCGAGGACCCCAGGAAGCCCAGCGCGAGGACUCCACCCACGACGCCCAGCGCGAGGACUUCACGCACAACACGUUGCAACCCUCCUGGAUUAGGCCAAAGCCAUCAUCUGGAAUCCUGCGUGGGACCCUGGACACACGGACACAGACACCUGCCCCCAGGACCCUCCAACUGUAAAUCGAUUGGAAGCGCCCUUGUGAGCUGGGGCCUUCAAAGGGCUGAGGAGAAAAUGCAGGCCGAGAGACCAGCUUCUCAAAUAGGCUUCAAGCCUCCAUGACCUGAGCUCACCCCCUGGAAAUGUCUGGAAAACAUAAUGGGCAGGUUUUCUGUCUUCAAAGUUUCCAUCAAAACCUCUUCAAGUUCUUUAUUGUUUAGGACUGAGACACUUGGGGACAGUAAUGGGGACUUUCUUUUGUAUCUGUCUUGAAAGGCCAAAAUAUUUUUAUAUUGCUGUAGACAAAGCCACCUAUUUACAAAUGGACUCUUGUUCCGUCGUUUCCCACCAGGAAGACCGUACUAUGUUUGUGUCUCUAUGUAUUCUGGGGUCUUGAAACAGGUUUCUCAUGGGGAUGGCCAUUCACUAGAGCCCAGAGGGGCAGAAGGGGAAGUGUCUACCCUGCCAAGGGGGUCUGGGGAAGGAGGGGGGCUAGUCUCAGAUUUGCUCCUUGUAUGUCUAGGGUAAACCCUGGGAGAAUCUGGUGGUAAAAGAACAUAUGCUGUGUUUGCCCCACAUCUGCCAUUUGUGUGUGUUUCUGGGCUACGGGUUUGCACACUUUGGUGGUUAACAUGGUGGGAGGAAGUAAGAAGGGCCAAGAGGGCACGGGUGCUCUGGUUUUCCUGCUGGGAGGCUGUUUCACUGGUGUGUGUUACAUCACAUAAUGCAUGUUUAGCUGGGUGAGUGACAACAGUAUGAAGGGACAGAGAAACAAAUAGGUGUAGAAAGAGAGUCACAGAGCACACAGUCACCAUUCUGUGCCCAGGCGUUCAUUAAAUGUUCAAUAGAAUGCUGAGCUCUGAUAGACAGAGCGGGCCAUGGACACACUGGUAUUGGGUCAUCAUGGACCUAAGGAGUUUUUUUAAUUGAAGAAGGAAUCUUACAUAACAGAAGAAAGAAUAAGAAGAGCUGUCAAAACGAGCUCUGAGGUUUUUGAAGCCCCUUAAUAUAAACAGACAGACAAUGGCGUGAUCAGGAAAGGGAGAAAACAAACAAACAAACAAACAAGAUGCUUACAGAAAUACGAGAGGACGUGUGAGCAUGCAAAGAGAACCCAGCUAGGUUAGUAUCGGGGUGCUGGUGGAUCGUUAAUCCUGUCUGGGUACCCCAGCUCCAAGGGGAUGAGAGGCAGCAAGUGAGAGGACACAUAGGAAACUGUAACAAGACAGAGGCGAGCAGAUGGGGAGCUUCAGCGGAGUGUUAAGCUAGGCUUCGCAAUCUGACCACUUAACUCUCCCAGCAAAGAAAAGAAAGGCUUAAAUACUAAAAAGAAGGAAAGCUGGAAGAAAGGAUGGUAGAUGUGAAAGGCAUAGAGGAUAGAAAGCAAUAGGGAGUGGAGUGCAGGUGCUGUGGAGAGACGCUUGCAGGUGACUCAAUUCACCAGCCUGUGCAGCUGAGAAAGACAGCCAGUGACAAAGGAGAAGAAGAAAGGUAACAAUACACUCACAAAUAGGUAGAUGAAUGUAGCUGGAAGACGGGGCCUGGCUAGGGACGGGAUGAGAGGCUGUGUCAGCAGACUGGUUAAUUCCCAUCUGUGCUUCUGAGAUGGACAAUGACCCACCCGACCAAGAGACCUUUCAGGCAUCAAUAUGUCAGGGAGGGCUUCAAUGGGGCAAUGGAGGCGAGGCCCAUUAAUAGCAGAUUAUGAUGUAUCCAAUUAGGUGCACCUGCCCUCUGGAAGUGCAGAAACCAGUAUUGAAA